AACGAACGCUGGCGGCAGGCUUAACACAUGCAAGUCGAACGCCCCGCAAGGGGAGUGGCAGACGGGUGAGUAACGCGUGGGAAUCUACCUAGUUCUACGGAACAACUGAGGGAAACUUCAGCUAAUACCGUAUACGCCCUAAGGGGGAAAGAUUUAUCGGAAUUAGAUGAGCCCGCGUUGGAUUAGCUAGUUGGUGGGGUAAUGGCCUACCAAGGCGACGAUCUAUAGCUGGUCUGAGAGGAUGAUCAGCCACACUGGGACUGAGACACGGCCCAGACUCCUACGGGAGGCAGCAGUGGGGAAUAUUGGACAAUGGGCGCAAGCCUGAUCCAGCCAUGCCGCGUGAGUGAUGAAGGCCUUAGGGUUGUAAAGCUCUUUCAGUGGGGACGAUAAUGACGGUACCCACAGAAGAAGCCCCGGCUAACUUCGUGCCAGCCGCCGCUGUAAAAC
rnacentral:rRNA from 1 species